rnacentral:lncRNA from 1 species
AUUGUAGUCAUCUUUAUUUCUGCAGUUCUUGGCACAGAACAAGGCUUCACGGAUGUCUAUUAAUUGAAUAAGCAAAUGAAAAUAAAGAAUCACAGGACAUUGAGGUCAUCCCAGUCACUCUUUCAUUUUGUAGAUGCAACUUAGAUCUAGAGAGUAAGCUUGAAGAAAGACCAGCUGACCCAAUGAGCACAGAUGGAAAUCAAGAUCCCCUGGCAAGUAUGGUGGGUUCCAGAUGGAGUUCAGGCUCCUCUAGUCCAUAAAGAAAACGUCUGACCCUACUCAUCCUGACUGAAGCUUCUCUGCAGGUUUUGUCUCCCUAUUCCAGGAGCCCUGUGCUGUGUGCUCAUUGGGGAAAAAGGCAGAGAUGAGGGACAGCCAAGCACAGAGGAGAAGAGCAUGAGCAAUGGAGUUCUAGGGCCUUCCUCCAGAGAAGCAAGCAGACUAUGUACAUCUGACAUCAUAAAGGCAAGUCUUUUCUUUAAUAAACAUAUAUAAGAAUAUAACCUCAAAUGAUGCUGGAGGCUAAGGAUAACUUGGUGACCUGGACAUCGG